CAGCCGCCGCGGUAAUACGGAGGGCGCGAGCGCUACCCGGAUUUACUGGGCGUAAAGGGCGUGUAGGCGGCCUGGGGCGUCCCAUGUGAAAGGCCACGGCUCAACCGUGGAGGAGCGUGGGAUACGCUCAGGCUAGAGGGUGGGAGAGGGUGGUGGAAUUCCCGGAGUAGCGGUGAAAUGCGCAGAUACCGGGAGGAACGCCGAUGGCGAAGGCAGCCACCUGGUCCACUUCUGACGCUGAGGCGCGAAAGCGUGGGGAGCAAACCGGAUUAGAUACCCGCGUAGUCCCUGUCUCUUAUAA
rnacentral:rRNA from 1 species